AAACUGUGUUGUAGGCAUGAACUGACAAUAUCUUUGAACCUCUCCCAACAUUGGAAGAAUGUUUCAUCCUCUUUUUGAGCGAAGUUUAUGAUUGAAUUUCUAAGGGU